UACAUGGGGUGCAAACGUUGCUCGGAAUCAUUGGGCGUAAAGCGCGCGUAGGCGGUUACUUAAGUCGAAUGUGAAAGCCCUCGGCUUAACUGAGGAAGUGCAUUCGAAACUGAGUAGCUAGAGUACGAAAGAGGGUCGCGGAAUUCCCGGUGUAGAGGUGAAAUUCGUAGAUAUCGGGAGGAACACCGGUGGCGAAGGCGGCGACCUGGGUCGAGACUGACGCUGAUGCGCGAAAGCGUGGGGAGCAAACAGG
rnacentral:rRNA from 1 species